rnacentral:rRNA from 1 species
AGUGAACGCUGGCGGUAGGCCUAACACAUGCAAGUCGAACGGCAGCACAGUAAGAGCUUGCUCUUACGGGUGGCGAGUGGCGGACGGGUGAGGAAUACAUCGGAAUCUACUUUUUCGUGGGGGAUAACGUAGGGAAACUUACGCUAAUACCGCAUACGACCUACGGGUGAAAGCAGGGGAUCUUCGGACCUUGCGCGAUUGAAUGAGCCGCUGUCGGAUUAGCUAGUUGGCGGGGUAAAGGCCCACCAAGGCGACGAUCCGUAGCUGGUAUGAGAGGAUGAUCGGCCACCCUGGAACUGAGACAGGGUCCCGACACCUAAGGGGGGCAACAGUGGGGAAUAUUGGACAAUGGGCGCAAGACUGAUCCAGCCAUACCGCGUGGGUGAAGAAGGCCUUCGGGUUGUAAAGCCCUUUUGUUGGGAAAGAAGAGCAGCAGGUUAAUACCCCGCUGUUCUGACGGUACCCAAAGAAUAAGCACCGGCUAACUUCGUG